rnacentral:tRNA from 1 species
AGGGUUGUAUUUAAAUAUAAUAUUUGAUUUGCAAUCAAGAGGUGCUUUGUUAGCCAAUCUUA